GAUGAACGCUGGCGGCGUGCCUAAUACAUGCAAGUCGAACGAACAGAUAAAGCGCUUGCUCCUUUGACGUGAGCGGCGGACGUGUGAGUAACACGUGUGUAACCUACCUAUAAGACUGGGAUAACUUCGGGAAACCGGAGCUAAUACCGGAUAAUAUUUCGAACCGCAUGGUUCGAGAGUGAAAGGUGGUUUUGCUAUCACUUAUAGAUGGACCCGCGCCGUAUUAGCUAGUUGGUAAGGUAACGGCUUACCAAGGCGACGAUACGUAGCCGACCUGAGAGGGUGAUCGGCCACACUGGCACUGAGACACGGUCCAGACUCCUACGGGAGGCAGCAGUAGGGAAUCUUCCGCAAAGGGCGAAAGCCUGACGGAGCAACGCCGCGUGAGUGAUGAAGGUCUGCGGAUCGUAAAACUCUGUUAUUAGGGAAGAACAUACGUGUAAGUAACUGCGCACGUCUUGACGGUACCUAAUCAGAAAGCCACGGCUAACUACGUG
rnacentral:rRNA from 1 species